GAAAAAGAAAAAAAAGCGAAAAAGCAAUGAAAAAGAAAAAAUUGAUGUUGAGUUGUCUUGUAUAUAGAAGUUUAAGUUUGGUGUUUAUUUGUUUCAUUGUGUAAUAAAAGACCGGGUAGAGUCAUUCGCUACUACAAAUAUAUUCCAUUUCCUACCCGUACACCUUGCCACGUUACAACCUUAAAGCCCAUUUGAUUUGCAUUCAUGUUUUGACAAUUGUUAGGUGAAGGACCGAUUCAGGUACAAGCAUAUAGUUGUGCAAUUACCCGUUUGCCUUUUGUGUGUCUAGCUUAUCUUUGCUAGUGCUUACUUGUUGCCGAGAAGAGAGAUAUAGCGAGGGGUGUGUUGUUUGGGUGUUAGGAAAAGGGCUAGUAAAAGGAUGAUAUGUUUAUGCUUGAUUUAUGUUGAUCGCUUGUGCAUUUGAAAAUGGUUUUUGAUGGGUUGCUUGGGACAAGCAACGGUUAAGUGUGGGGAUGUGACGGGUGGUCCAUAGGACAACCCUUAAUGGUGUUAAAUGACAAGUUAAUCCCUCAUUUAAUCAUGUAAUUGUCUUGAAUUAGAUGACUACAGUUGCUUAUGUUUCAGGUACAUUCGGAGCUUAAAACUACCGUAAAUUACGGUAGACCCCAGCAUUUUUCGUCCACCGUAAGGCAGUAGAGACCCACCGUAACACUUUUUGGUCCACCGUAACUUACG
rnacentral:lncRNA from 1 species